ACACAAGAAGGCGACUCACCGUUGACACAGUGAACACAUAUCAAGCCAUGGACAUACUUGAGGAUACUUAUUCAAAGAGGAUGAGAAUGCGCUGACAUAGUGAGGAGACGUCUGGGCGUCACAUUCUACAGACAGAAGUUUUAGCUGGAACAAGUCCUGGCGAUUGGCAAAGAUGACUUCUUCGGAAUAUGACAGUGACACCUCCACCCAUUUUCUGGCCAUAGACUCCAAGCCCAGAUCUUCCAGAUCUAAUCUUAAAGGGGAUAUCCAGCAUAAGCCUAGUGGACAGGAGACAACACCUACAUAAUUGCCUGUUGAAGUUUCAAAGGAGAAAGGACAAAGGGCAAAGGACACGGACAAAGAGGAGGAAAGGACCCAACAUAUGUCCACUACUGAGAAAUCUAGGAAAGAAAAAAAAUUGACUCAUGAAGUGGAUCCAUCAUCAUGUAUGACAGAGGAUGUGAUCCAUUAUGUCCAGGAGAGACCAUCACUAUGGGAUAAAUCUCAUCCCAAGCACCAUGACAACAUUUCUACUCGUAGAAGAUGGGAAGAGAUAUAUCUUAAAAUAUUUCCUGAUUUCAAAAAUGAUAGUGAAAAAAUAUAGUGAAAAAGUUAGAUUCUUCAUGUUUUUGUGCAUGAUAAUGUCUUCAAAUGUAUUAAUCCCUUCAGGACCAAGCCCAUUUUGGCCUUAAGGACCAGAGCGUUUUUUGCACAUCU